AUGACCAUUCAUCAUUCACUGCACCCUCGCAGUGAUGUUGACCGGCUAUAUCUGCCUAGAAGAUCAGGGGGCAGAGGACUCUUACAAGUAAAGCAAGCAGUCAAAGAAGAAGAACAUGCCCUGGCAGAAUAUGUCAAGCAAAGUGAAGAACCUGCUUUGAUUGAAGUCAAAAAUCAGAAACUCCUCAAAACACAGCAGACAAAAAACCAGUACAAGAAAACCGCACUACAAACUAGAGCUGACAGCUGGCACAACAAAACACUGCAUGGAAAGUUCCUUGACAAAAUUGAAGGAAAAGCUGAUAAGGAGAAGACCUGGCUCUGGCUCACGAAUGGGACCCUGAAGAAGGAGACAGAAGGCCUGAUCCUUGCAGCCCAGGAGCAAGCCAUCAGAACAAAUGCAAUUAAGGCCAAGAUUGAAAAAUCAGCUGAUGACCCAAAAUGCAGACUGUGCAAGGAAACCGACGAAACCAUUGAUCAUAUCCUCAGCUGCUGUAAGAAAAUCGCACAGACAGACUACAAACAGAGGCACAACUAUGUGGCCCAAAUGAUUCAUUGGAACUUAUGCCUCAAGUACCACCUCCCAGCAGCAAAGAACUGGUGGGAUCACAAACCUGCAAAAGUCUUGGAAAAUGAGCACGCAAAGAUACUGUGGGACUUCCGAAUCCAGACUGACAAAGUUCUGGAACACAACACACCAGACAUCACAGUUGUGGAAAAGAACAAGGUUUGGAUCAUUGAUGUUGCCAUCCCAGGUGACAGUCGCAUUGACGAAAAACAACAGGAAAAACUCAGCCGCUAUCAGGACCUCAAGAUUGAACUUCAAAGACUCUGGCAGAAACCAGUACAGGUGGUCCCGGUGGUCAUGGGCACACUGGGUGCUGUGCCAAAAGAUCUCAGCCGGCAUUUGGAAACAAUAGACAUUGACAAAAUCACCAUCUGCCAACUGCAAAAGGCCACCUGUCAGGACCCAGGCUGCAGAGCACCAAUAACCAUGCACUGA
rnacentral:lncRNA from 1 species